rnacentral:rRNA from 1 species
GAUGAACGCUGGCGGCGUGCCUAAUACAUGCAAGUCGAGCGAACAGACGAGGAGCUUGCUCCUCUGACGUUAGCGGCGGACGGGUGAGUAACACGUGGAUAACCUACCUAUAAGACUGGGAUAACUUCGGGACACCGGCGCUAAUACCGGAUAAGAUAUUGAACCGCAUGGUUCAAUGGUGAAAGACGGUUUUGCUGUCACUUAUAGAUGGAUCCGCGCUGCAUUAGCUAGUUGGUAAGGUAACGGCUUACCAAGGCAACGAUGCGUAGCCGACCUGAGAGGGUGAUCGGCCACACUGGAACUGAGACACGGUCCAGACUCCUACGGGAGGCAGCAGUAGGGAAUCUUCCGCAAUGGGCGAAAGCCUGACGGAGUAACGCCGCGUGAGUGAUGAAGGUCUUCGGAUCGUAAAACUCUGUUAUUAGGGAAGAACAAAUGUGUAAGUAACUGUGCACGUCGUGACGGUACCUAGUCAGAAAGCCACGGCUAACUACGUG